CUCCCCAGAAACUCUAACGAGCUAAUAUUUAGAAAGGAGUGUAGACGAAAUAAACUCACUCCAAGAUUUUCAAAGCAUAGAGUAAAAAAUAACAACAAAGUAACAAUUAUCACAGCAGAAAACAAGAAAGUACACAAAUCUAGGAUUAAGAAGAAAAAGAAAUAUACUUAAACUAAUAAACAUUUUAAUUUUUUACAGAUUCGCAUUGACAAAUGCACAAAUAAUAGAAAUCCAAAAUCUUAACAAAAACCAAGGUUUAUUGACUUUACAAUUAGGAAUGGCUAAAAGCUGAUUACAGUAAACUUAUACAUAUAGUGGACCUAGACCUCUACAGCGAAAACAUUCAAAGCAUUACAUACUCACUAGACAUAUUCGAGAAAGACCAUAAAUUAACACAAAUGACGAAGAUUUUAAGACUCAAACUAAGAGACCUUUCCGAAAAGAUCAAAUCUCUCACGCCAAAACAAAGAAACAAAAGAGGAAUUAUUAAUGGACUAGGAACUACAAUAAAAUUCAUAACCGGAAAUAUGGACGCAAACGACGCACUUAAGCUAAAUGAAGAAAUAGAAUCAAUAAAGAAAACAGCAUCAGAACAGGACCAAACACAAUCCAAACUAAAUACCAAAAUUUUCGAAAGACUCCAAUAUUUAACUAAACAUAUUAACGACCAACAAGACAAAAUUCAAGACUUUCUUAGAACAAACUUUCAACAGACAUAUAACAGCGUUAGAAGAAGCGAAAAUUUCAUCCAACAGUCCCAAUAUCUAAAUCAAGUCAACUAUAACAUAGAUCUGCUGUCAAACCACAUUAACAAUAUAGCCGAAACAAUCAUACUUGCUAAAAUUAACAUAAUCCCAAAAUUUAUUUCAAACUCAGAUGAACUCGAACAUAUAAAUAAACUUUUCGAAGAACAGUCAUUCAAUAUUUUAUCAAAUGAGCAUAUCUAUGAACUUCUAGAGUUACAGGCAUUAUUAUAAUGGCAACAAAAUUAUAUUCAAUAUCAAAAUUCCAAUAUUUUCCCAAGACACCUUCUCCUUUUUGCACCUAAUUCCUCUUCCCGUAAAUAUUAGUAAAGAAAUUGUGACAAAACCUUAUAUUGCAAUAAAUAACAAUUAUAUAUAUUAUUAUAACAAUAAAUGUACAAAAAUAGAAAAUGUAUUUAUAUGUAAGCAACCAAGUCUUAUAGAAGAUUUCGACAACUCACCUUGCAUUGGACAACUGCUCAAAAAUCAAAACGCAGAAUGUACACUCAACGAUCUGGGAAGAAUCGAAAAAAUCUUUUCACCAGAGCCGAAUCAUAUAGUUUUUCUUAAUAUUCCUUCAACAAACAUCAAAUCUACAUGCAGCAACACUACCUAUACGAUAGAAGGCACAGCGCUCCUUAAGUACAAAAACUGUUCAGUCAAUAUAAAUGAUGUCACCUACAGCAAUAACCCCAUAGCUUACCAAGACGAAAUCUACAUCAUUCCCGCUUCAUAUGCCAAAAUUAUAUCAAAUUUGACCAUCGAGAAGAUCAGCCUCGAGAAAAUAAAAGAAUACCAUUUUUCGAAUGAAACCAAAAUCAAACGAGCCCACCAUAGAAUUUUCUUCACUGAUGCCGUAGUUCUUAUACUAUCUAUUCUCAUCAUCGGCAUAAUCAUCAGAUACUUCAGAAACAAUUCCAGUCACAGUAUUCAACCUGUCGCUCCAACCCUAUCGCUCCAGUCUAAGGGGGGAAGAGUUACGAACCCCAUUCCCAUGCAACAUCAGCAACAACAGGGAAUAAUGCUUACACAACAAGUCACUGACCGACGAUACUAAUUAUUAUUAUUAUUAGGUCAAAACAAUUGUUAAAGUUAACAGGAAUUCGAAAGCAUAACGCUUAAUCAGCGUCUAGUUCAUUUCCUUUCGAAUUCCUGGAAUCAGAACAAGCAAUAGAAUAAGUUUCGUGUAAAGUUAUUGAAAAUAAAAGAUUAUUGUCAUUUUGAAUUUCAACCCAAUAAGUUGUUUUUUUUACCCAAGCGCACGCCGCGACUUAUAACUCGCGUACCAGUGUGAGUUAUAAAAAUGUGUAAUGGUGUUAUCACAAUAUGUUUUUUAUGAUUCAUUGUAAAUUGUGAACAUCUCUGAUAUAGAGAACAUUAAUUGGGGAAAUAGAAAAAACAAUAUGAUUUGGUGUGAAAGAUUAAGGGAAGGAGAAACAUUUUGUAUCUGUGAAUCUGGAUGGUUGGACAUAAAAUGUACGGAUGUAAUAUUCUAUAAUGACACAUUAAAAUUGAUGCUACAGCCAGAAUAUGGAAGCGAAUGCGAUUUGUUUCAUAUUAGAAAUGGUGAGACCGUAUCGCCUAUUCUGAGUUUUAAGUUGCAGUUUCAAUCUAUGCACAAUGUACGGUUUAAACUUUUAGGAGGGGAGUUAACACUGAUCGGAACGAUCACACCUCAUUCGAAUGCUGUAAAGAGAAAAGAGGGUGAAUAUCCAUCGCUUUGUCCAUUUGGUGAGGCUGAAUUAUUUAAUGAACCUCAAAAACUUAAAAAGAAAAAAGACAGUCAUCGCAUAGAAAUAGAGACAGUUGAACGAGCUCAUGGCACAUCAUUUGAAUCGAAUGUAUUUUAAUAUAUACAAGAUGAGAUAAAAAUAAAAGAUGUGAGAGAGAGAUGAAUAUAGAAAGAAUAAAAAUUAUAUAAAAUUUAAAAUUUGAGUGCAAUGUUUAUUAGUUUAUGACAAACCUUUGGAUAGCAAACAUCUUUUUUUUUUAAAAUGUUGUUUUACUCAUCAGUCUUAUGUCUGUUUUUAAUUUGUCCUUCAUUAAUUGCUACUUUGCCAUUACCUGUGGAUAUAAAUUUGCAACAAGCAAACAUAACUGACAAUCUCUCUUUUUCAUUGAGUUUACCUAAUAAUGAUACUAUGCAAAUAGGUUUAUCGUUUCGUUUGUUAACCUUUACAAAUGGUACAAAUUUGCUUAAUACCACAACAACAACAACCGAUACAACAUCAUUUCAAAAUGAUGCAACAGUGACUUCAACAACAGCAAGAACGGUGGUAAAUACAAUUUUGGAGGAGAAAAAAAAUAGUAACCGUAGAGGAAGCAAUCGAGAGUUUUAGGCAAGACUUAAUUAAAAAAGAAAUUGAAAUAUCAGGAAUUAUACAAAGUAAGGAUGUUUUUUAUAGACAUUUCAAGGUUGAGUUUGAUGAAGAUAAGAUGAUAGCAAUUAUAAUUUGCGCACUUUAAGCUAUAAAUGUUAUGAGUAUCAUGAAUAUGAAACUGAGAGAGUAUUAAGUAAUGGAGAAGUUGAGGCCUUUAUGAAGGAGGAUCUCGCA